GCGGAUGUAGCUCAACUGGGAGAGCGCCGGACUUGGGUCCGGAGGUUGUGGGUUCGAGUCCCGUCGUCUGCACCA
rnacentral:tRNA from 1 species